GAUACUGUGACAGUAACACUAAAAGAGAACAUCAUCACUUUCAUGAAAAUUCCAACCAUCUUUGCACAUGUUGAUUUAUCAAAAAACAUGUUCGAUGGAGAGAUUCCAGAUGUUAUUGGACAGCUUCAUGCACUCAAAGGGCUCAACCUUUCUUAUAACAGGCUCAUUGGUCCUAUACCCCGAUCCAUGGGAAACUUGAAAAACUUGGAAUCACUGGAUCUCUCCUCAAAUGUGCUUACUGGUGGGAUUCCUACAGAACUAACCAAUAUGAACUCUCUUGAGGUUCUGAAUCUUGCAUACAAUCAUCUAGUUGGAGAGAUACCUCUAGGAAAGCAGUUCAAUACAUUUUCAAAUGUUUCCUAUGAGGGGAACUUGGGGUUAUGUGGAUUACCAUUGUCAAAAAAAUGCCACGUGAGCCCAGAACAACAUUCUCCACCUUCACCAAUCUUGUUGAAGGAAGAGAAGUUCGGAUUUGGUUGGAAACCAGUGGCCAUAGGAUAUGGAUGUGGAAUGGUAUUUGGAAUUGGCUUGGGAUGUUGUGUAUUCUCACUUGGAAAGCCUCAAUGGCUUGUCAGGAUGUUCGGUGGUCAACCAAAUAAGAAGCUGAAAAGGAGGACAAAGAGGAGGACUCAUGGAACAAUGAAUCAACUGGUGCAGAUGUCAUAACCUUGUAAGUUGUAGCAACUAUUUUCUCUUUUACUUUUAUCUACUAUUCUCAAAAAAAUAAAGAAGCUUUAGAGUUUUUGUCACUCUUUUUUAUGUAAUUUGACUUUGGGUUGUGAGUUUGUAAUAUGAAUGUAAGUUCUAUAAAAUAUAGUAAGAUUACUUUCUUGCAUUUUAAGUGAGAUUUUAUCAGAAUUUGGGUCUGUGUUAAGUUUUGCUUCCUCAAUUAAGUGUGUAUUUGAAAACUCAGCAGAUUCCUACAUGCAGGGUAGAAAGGUUCUAGAAUAAGCAACUAGGAGUAGCUUUCCUUAUUCUAAGUGAUUCUGGAAAUUUUAAACGUAAGAAAAAAUAUACUUUAAAACAUUGUUAAACUUCAAUAUGCUUAAUCUGGACACCGGUCAAGACACACCUAAUUCUAGCAAACAAGACUUCUAAAUCAAUGCAAAUGGUUGUACUGGAAUUCACUUAAAAAACGUUAUGGAUGGGAUAGAAAAUGAAAAAUAUUGUUUCCUUUUUUAUUGGAUUGGAAACUUGAAGUUUAGAGAUAUGGUUUUUCCACAAAAGCUUUGAAAUGAUAAAGCUGUUUUAUUUUCUGCAAACUUGGUUAAUGAUCUACCUACAUAAUUCCAAAAAUCCCAUUAACUUAAAUCAUCUUGUAGAAUCACUUUCUAAGUACAUGCUUGAAUACACGGUGAAAAACCACAGUGGACAGCCCCAAAAGCUAAUAGAAGUUGCUUUUGUCCACUGUGAUUUUAGCUCACCGUGGUUUUCCCAUGUAUACAAACAUGCACUGAAUUAUUUAGCUAUGUUUGAAGAGUACAGCUUGAGUUCCAGUUCUGGUUAAUUUAAAAAUAUCUGAUAAAAAUGUCAUAUCCAAGGUAUGCUAUACUUUUGUAACCUGCCAUCACACAAUUUGUAGUUUUUUCCCACAUUCAAAAGUAGGGCAGAGAAAAAAAUGUUUAUUUCUGAAAAGUAUUCCUUUUUACAUAAGUAAUAACAUUAUUUGCAUAAAUUUACAAAUAAAAAUAUCAACCUCUUGUUCAAAUAAUAACUAAGAGCCUCUACAGCAUUCCCAAAAGGAGGAUUGACUCUUGGCAAAUUUUCAACAACACAGGACAGAGUAAUGUCUAGAGGACAAAAUCCAAAGCUACACCAAAGAUGGAAUAUAUACAAGAAGCUGAUUCCAUGAUAGCAAUCUUAAAAAUAACAAGUUUUUCAUUCCCUUAUUAAUAAAGUACACUCUGAGAAAAACUUUGUGAUACAUUAGAUGCAAGAUAGUAGUCUCCUGAGAAGGAAACAUCACUACACACUCAAAUCCAUGAUGGUGAAUACAAGAUACGAGCAUUCUCAAGGGAAAAACCAUUAAGAUUUGGCAAUGAAAUUCCCUUCUGUAACUGCAAAUUCAGGUAUGGUAUGAGCACAGUUUUGAGGAUACUUGACGUCAGUGACUGCAAAUGUUUAAAGUCAGUGACUGCACAGGAUUGUCCACAAAAGACACAUUAAGAACAGGAGUUUUGUCUUAUGAGAUUGUCUUCGGAAGAGAUUGUAAUGAACUGUCAGGGUUUCAACAGCAAAUGCUAUGUUUCCUUCAAAAGCAUCUACAGCCUGCAGUAAAAGAAAAUUAUUAACAUGAUAUCUUCAACUGUUAAUAAAUAUAUAUACAAGGGCACAAAAUGUAAGUCAAGUUUUGCCCCUUUAGACGAGAAAUUGACCCAUAUGAACCGAGGAAAUAUAGUUUUAUAUUCUCCCAUAAUUUUUUUUGUUAUUGAGACACUCUUCUCUGCCUUCCCAGUUUCAUGUCAUACUUUUUACUAAGGCAUAAAGAUAUAGUAUUAGAGAACAGAAUCAAAAAAAUAGGCUUAGAAUUUUAGAAUUCACACUAGGCUUAACUAUACCCGUUGAUAUCCAGUCCUAUAAAUUUCACACUCCAUAUGUCUAGCCCUAGGCUUGGUGGUGUGUUAAGGUCUCCUAUCAACUAGAAACAUGGAUAGAAUAAUUCUUAUAAAGAAUUGGAACAAUCAUCACCUGAAGCUAGCUUUUGGGGUAGAGUUUGUUCUAUCCCAAAUUUAAGAAAUAACUCUGGGAUUCGGGGAUUGUAAAUAUUAUCAAAAGUUUCCCCAUGGAAAUUUGGAAGUCCAUCAGAAAUAAAAGAUCACCAUUCUAUUAAAUAGAGCAUGAAUGAAAUGUGAGUUUUAGUUCUAGUUUUGAAAAAAUUACCUAUCAAUUAUUUAUCAGUGACAAAAUUUUGUUGGCUGACAUUACAUUCUUGUAUGAGGUUUUAUCAACAUGUGCACUAGUGUGAAUUUUGGGUUUCCCAACCAAAGAUUUGUUUAGCUGCAAUGUUACUUAACAAUUACUAUUUCAUAAUUACUAAAACUUUUACUUCCAUGUCUGGUAUGUUAACCUCUGUAACUAUAGCAUAAUUCUAUUUAUUUUUUUAAUGAAAGUUUGAGAUCAGAAAAAUGUAUUUCAAAGAAAUAAGAUAAAGAAUAAGGACGUGAAGGAAAUUAGGAGGUGAAACUUCAAACCAAUUAAUGCAAACAAAGACUUCCAAGUCAAUGCAAAUGGAAGUCUGUGUAGGAUGACCUCAAUAACGUUAUGGAUGGGCUAGAAAAAGUCAACCAUGUUUGGUUUCCAUGCGGAUCUCCACUCUCCACAGAAGAACCAUCAAAAUUCAAAGCUUAAGUUUGCAGCCAUAAAAACUCUAAUCUUUCUGUUUUCAAUUUGGUUAUAAAUAUUUAUCAGUAUGGUUCCUUAAUCCUUACCAUUCCAUGCUCAAUACCAAACCACAGACACUUGUCACACAUAUUCAUGGGGUAUCUAUUGUUGGUAGUUUCACUUAUUUUGUGUUUGGUUUUCGAAUUUCCAUUCUUUUGUAUAUCUUCUCCACGUUCCUCCUCAUGUCCUCCCGACCAAAGCUUAGCCUUGCUCCAAUUUAAGGCUUCCUUCACUAUUUAUACUGCUACUACUACUUCUGUUUCUUACUGGUGUGGUGACGAGGAAAGGGAUUAUACAACAACAUGGACAAAUGUGAUGGAUUGUUGCUCAUGGCUUGGUGUCACGUGUGACCACGUCUCUGGUAACGUGAUUGGCCUUGACCUCAGCUGCGCAGGGAUUUAUGGUGAAAUCCAUCCUAACAGUACCCUUUUCCAUCUUACUCAUCUCCAAAAUCUCAACCUUGCUUUCAAUGAGUUCUCCUAUUCGCACUUGCCAUCUAAGUUUGGUGGUCUUGUGAGUCUCACACACCUCAACUUGAGUGGUUCUGACUUGGGAGGUGAAAUUCCUUCCCAAAUAUCACACCUCUCCAAAUUAGCCUCAUUGGACCUCUCUAGCAAUUAUGGAUUAAAGUGGAAAGAAAACACUUGGAGGAGGCUGCUGCAGAAUGCAACAUCUUUGAGGGAGCUUGUUCUUGAUUACACAGAUAUGUCUUCAAUUAGACUACUCAAUCUAUCAUCCUCUUUGGUAACUCUUAGCCUUUUAGCAACUGGGUUGAAGGGAAACUUGGCAAGUGCCAUUUUUUGUUUACCAAAUCUUCAACACCUAUAUCUAUCAGGUAAUCGAGACCUUCAAGGCCAGCUUCCAGAAUUGAGUUGUAGCUCUUCCCUCAGAAUCUUUACUCUUUCAGGUGGUCAAUUGCAAGGUUUGAUCCCUCCCUCCUUCUCUAAUCUCUCACACCUUACAUCCUUGACUCUCUCUUACAACAACAUCAAUGGUUCAAUUCCAUCCUCACUUUUAACCCUUCCAUGUCUAACUUCUUUGGACCUCAGUUAUAAUGAUCUUAGUGGUCAAAUUCCAGAUGUAUUCCCUCAGUCAAACAGCUUUCAGAAAUUACAAUUGAGUUUGAACAACAUAGGAGGCGUGUUGCCACCAUCACUGUCAAACCUUCAGCAUCUAGUUCUCUUGGACCUUUCAUACAAUAAAUUGAGCAGUCAAAUUCCAGAUGUGUUUGGUGGUCUAACAAAAUUGAAAACUCUAUUUCUUGGCCAAAAUAAUUUCAUAGGACAAAUUCCAUCUUCUAUGUUUGACUUGACUCAACUUUCUAUCUUGGAUUGUUCUUAUAAUAAACUAGAAGGUCCACUGCCCAAGAAGAUAACAAGGUUUUCAAACCUAACUGUGUUAGACUUAAAUGACAACUUGCUAAACGGGACAAUUCCUGUAUGGUGUUUAUCUUUGCCAUCUUUGGUAGGAUUAGGUCUGGCAUAUAAUAAGUUCACAGGGCAUGUAAGUGCAAUCUCAUCUUAUUCCUUAAAGGAUAUAUAUUUGUGCUACAACAAGCUACAAGGAAACAUUCCCGAAUCAAUUUUCAACCUUGUGAACUUAAGUACCUUAUGUCUAUCAUCAAACAACUUGAGUGGCCAUCUCAAUUUUCAACUUUUCUCCAAGCUUCAACACCUAAACUAUCUUUCCCUUUCGGAGAACAGUCAAUUAUCACUCAACUUCAGAUCCAAUGUCAAUUACAGUUUCCCUUACUUGGUUGAAUUGAAGUUGUCUUCUACCAAUUUAACUGAAUUUCCUAUUUUAUCUGGAAAAUUCCCGAGUUUGGCCUGGCUCGAUCUGUCCAAUAGCCAUCUUAAUGGAAGAGGGCCUGAUAAUUGGUUACAUGAAAUGCAUUCAUUAUAUUUCUUGAACCUCUCUCAUAACUUGUUGACAUCAUCAGUGGAGCUAUUCUCAGGGAGUUACCAACUCAAUUACCUUGAUCUUAGUUUCAACUUACUCGAAGGUGACAUCUCUACGUCAAUUUGCAAUGCAAGUUCACUCCAGGUUCUCCAAUUAUCUCAUAACAAGUUCACAGGCAGCAUCCCACAGUGCCUUGGAAAAUUACCAUCCCUUGAAGUUUUACAUCUGCAAAUGAACAAACUUCAUGGCACUUUGCCAAGUAGCUUUUCAAAGGAAAACACACUCAGGUCUCUAAAUUUCAAUGGAAACCAAUUAGAAGGAUCACUGCCUAAAUCUUUGUCACACUGCACAGAGUUGGAGUUUUUGGAUCUUGGAAACAACCAAAUAGAAGAUAAAUUUCCUCAUUGGCUACAAACUCUGCCAUAUUUGAAAGUACUGGUUUUGCGCAACAAUAAGUUUCACGGCCUCAUUGCUGAUUUAAAAAUCAAGCACCCAUUUCGAAGUUUAAUGAUUUUUGAUAUCUCAGGCAAUAACUUCAGCGGCCCAGUACCAAAAGACUAUAUCGAGAAUUUUGAAGCCAUGAAGAAUGACAUUCGAGAUGAAGUGAAUGGCAGUGUAGAAUACAUCGAAACACACUCAUUUAGUGGAACUCUAAUCACUUUUGAUAAUGUGACAAACACGAAAACAGCCUCGUUUGAUGGAAUUGCAAACUCAUUUGAUACUGUGACAAUAACACUGAAAGAGAACAUCAUCACUCUCAUGAAAAUUCCAACAAUCUUUGCACAUCUAGAUCUAUCAAAAAACAUAUUUGAAGGAGAGAUUCCAAAUGUAAUUGGAGAGCUUCAUGUGCUUAAAGGGCUCAAUCUUUCUCAUAAUAGACUCACAGGUCCUAUUCCUCAAUCCAUGGAACACUUGACAAACUUGGAAUCACUGGAUAUCUCUUCAAAUAUGCUUACUGGUGGGAUUCCUACAGAACUAACCAAUAUGAACUCUCUUGAGGUCCUAAAUCUUUCAUACAACCAUCUUGUGGGAGAGAUACCUCAAGGAAAGCAAUUCAACACAUUUUCAAAUGAUUCUUACGAGGAAAACUUGGGGCUGUGUGGAUUUCCAUUGUCAAAGAAAUGCCACAUGAACCAAGAACAACAAGCUCCACCUUCACCAAUCUUGUGGAAGGAAGAGAAGUUUGGAUUUUCUUGGGAACCAGUUGCCAUAGGAUAUGGAUGUGGAAUGGUAUUUGGAGUUGGCUUGGGAUAUUGUGUAUUCUCAAUCGGAAAGCCUCAAUGGCUUGUGAGGAUGUUCGGUGGUCAACCUAAUAAGAAGCUUAAAAGGAGGACCAAGAGGAGGACUAAUGGAACAAUGAAUCAAUUGGUUCAGAUGUCAUAACUGCAUAGUUAUUCUAGUAAUUACUUUUUCUUUUAUUUUGGUUCUAGUUUAUCAGUUAUAUUUAAUGUAAUUUGAUUUUGUGGUGAGAGUUUGUUGUGUGAGUACUGAGUAUAAUGUUUGGUACUUUAUUUGGCCUUUAAGUGUCUUUUAAUAAAAUUGCAAGUUUGACAUGUAUAUAUAUAACUAUAACUAUUUUAUACUUGUAUCUUGUUUGUUAGUAUGUUAUAUUAUUUUGGUCAUGUAAUAUCACUAUAUAACUAUAAGUGAUAUAUAUACAGAUUUGGUGAAAAUGAUCUUGUAAAAUAAUUUAGUUCAUUAAAUUUUCUUUCUGUACGUUAAGCAGACAAAAAUUUCCUAUAGUCGAUGUAAAUAGCUCCAACCCUCCACAAAUCUCAUUCUAGCAAAACUCGAAUCAUUGUCCCCAUUCUGCAACUCAAUGUACAUUCUCACUAGAUUCCUUCCUUUUCUUCUUUUCUUUUUUCACAACUUCAUGUUCUGGUUCCUCGCCACCAUCUUCAUCAGCUAGUAAGGCUGCAUCCUUCUCUUCAUUUUUCUCUUUCUUUUUCUUCUUUUCUUUCUCUUCCUUCUUUUUAUCAGCAACAAAAGGCUCUUGUGUAUCUUCAUCCAUUGUAGAAUUCAACUUUUGCGCAAUAACAGCAUCAGCUGAAUAUGUCUGCAAAGAAAAGAACAAUCAGCACAGACUGAAAAUAUAUAAAAUGAAAAUUACUAACAUUACCAAAUGAAGGCACUCUUUAGAAUCACUUAAUCACUCUUUAGGAACGGCGAACAAAGGUUUAAAUUGCUCAAUCCUUAAUCACUUUGAAAUGGACAAAAAUAGCUCUUGAUCUAUAACAACAUAUGCUGAUAUAAAUGUAUGUGUUUGACAAUCCUUUUCGAGUUUUUGUGAUAUAAAUGUAAACAUAAAGAUAACUUCAGGGUGCAUCUGCAUCCCAAUUGGCAAGCCCAAAAUAAAAAAGGACAUAUAAAAGAAACAUUGCAACUAAUUGCGGUCAAUAUUUUGAUAAUAUCUUUUCCUAUUAUUUUGAUACUAGUUGGUCUUUUCUGCAUCUUCAUGUGUCAUUGCAGGAUUCCAUUGGACUUUACUCAGAAUAUACAGAGGAAUAUUACACACGAGAUAGCAGAGUAUAGCAUGAAUUUCAGUUCCAGUUUUGAAAAAUCUACUUACAUUAGUAGUUAUUUAAUAUAUGGAGAUGCAGACUCUUCUGAUACUGUGACAGUAACACUAAAAGAGAACAUCAUCACUUUCAUGAAAAUUCCAACCAUCUUUGCACAUGUUGAUUUAUCAAAAAACAUGUUCGAUGGAGAGAUUCCAGAUGUUAUUGGACAACUUCAUGCGCUCAAAGGGCUCAACCUUUCUUAUAACAGGCUCAUUGGUCUUAUACCCCGAUCCAUGGGAAACUUGAAAAACUUGGAAUCACUGGAUCUCUCCUCAAAUGUGCUUACUGGUGGGAUUCCUACAGAACUAACCAAUAUGAACUCUCUUGAGGUUCUGAAUCUUGCAUACAAUCAUCUAGUUGGAGAGAUACCUCUAGGAAAGCAGUUCAAUACAUUUUUAAAUGUUUCCUAUGAGGGAAAUUUGGGGUUAUGUGGAUUUCCAUUGUCAAAAAAAUGCCACGUGAGCCCAGAACAACAUUCUCCACCUUCACCAAUCUUAUUGAAGGAAGAGAAGUUCGGAUUUGGUUGGAAACCAGUGGCCAUAGGAUAUGGAUGUGGAAUGGUAUUUGGAAUUGGCUUGGGAUGUUCUGCAUUCUCACUUGGAAAGCCUCAAUGGCUUGUGAGGAUGUUCGGUGGUCAGCCAAAUAAGAAGCUGAAAAGGAGGACAAAGAGGAGGACUCAUGGAACAAUGAAUCAACUGGUGCAGAUGUCAUAACCUUGUAGCAACUAUUUUCUCUUUUACUUUUAUCUACUAUUCUCAAAAAUAAAGGAGCUUUAGAGUUUUUGUCACUCUUUUUUAUGUAAUUUGACUUUGGGUUGUGAGUUUGUAAUAUGAAUGUAAUGUUUUAAUUCACUUUGUUCUAUAUAAGUUCUAUAAAAUCUAGUGAGAUUACUUUCUUGCAUUUCAAGUGAGAUUUUAUCAGAAUUUGGGUUAGUGUUAAGUUUUGAUUCCUCAAUUAAGUGUAUUUGAAAACUCAGCAGAUUCAUACAUGCAGGGUAGAAAGGUUCUAGAAUAAGCAACUAGGAGUAGCUUUCCUUAGCUUUUUUGGUGGAAAAGAACAAAUAUACUUAAAACAUUGUUUCCUUUUGGAUUGGAUUGGAAACUUGAAGUUUAGAGAUAUGGGUUUUCGACAAAAGCUUUGAAAUCAUAAAGCUGUUUUAUUUUCUGCAAACUUGGUUAAUGAUCUACCUACGCAAUUCCAAAAUGCCCAUUAACUUAAAUCAUCUUGUAGAAUCACUUUCUAAGCGGAUGUUUGAAUAUACGGUAAAAAACCACAGUGGACAGCCCCAAAAGCUAAUAGAAGUUGCUUUUAUCUAUUGUGAUUUUAGCUCACCGUGGUUUUCCACAUGUAUACAAACAUGCACUGAAUUAUUUAGCUAUGUUUGAAGAGUACAGCUUGAGUUCCAGUUCUGGUUGAUUUAAAAAUAUCUGAUAAAAAAUGUCAUAUAUAUCCAAGGCAUACUAAACUUUUGUAACCUGCCAUCACACAAUUUGUAGUUUUUUCCCCACAUUCAAAAGUAGGCAGAGAAAUAAUGUUUAUUUCUGAAAAGUAUUCGUUCUUGCAUAAGUAAUAACAUUAUUUGCAUAAAAUUACAAAUAAAAAUAUAACAAUGCAAUGACAAAAAGGGAGAAAAGCUUGAAUUCCACUCAUAGAAUAGAAUGAAGAAAAGUGGUAUAUUAUGGAGUAAAAUAUAAAAUCAUCCCGUGUCUUCAUCCAAUAACCUAGACUUUUGGAACAGUUAGUGCAUGAUAUAUAUGGUAUCAGAGUUUGUACUCUUUAUGUCCAUGUAGUCCAGAGCACUGUCAUCCAUCAGGCCCAAUGGACUCUUGUGUAAGGGGGCACGCUAGAAGUAUAAUAUAAAAUCAUUCAUGUAUCUUCAGCUAACAGCUUAAACUUUUGGGAUAGUUGGUAACAAUGUGAGAUUCAAAAGAAUUAAAACUAUCCACUUAAGUAUAUUGAGUUAAUUAAGCAUACCACUGAGAUGCAAUGCAGGCAACAGGAAUGACUUCACCAUAUUCCAAAACAUCAAUAAUUAUAUCUGUGAAAAUAUAGUAACACAAAUAUCUUCAUCAGACAUUUCUAUAACAGGUGGAGAGGUUAUAGAGACAUUAAGAUUCAUGUCAUCAUUUGGAUAUAUAUUUGAGGAAUAUGGAUUUUCCAUUGAACAGUGUUCAAAAACGCCUGCUGGUCAGGUAGUUCAUCAAUAAUCGAUUGGAACUUAUCUGCCUGAGCACAAGAACGACAUGAACUAUCCAAAGCAUGCCAAGUAUGUGUAAAACUUUCACAAUUUAAGCCAACCACUAAGAUUGUUUCCUAUGAUUUCAACACACUACUAAAAAAAUGGAAUCAGUUACGGACAAAUUCCGUCACAUGUUAUUAGAAUUUCCGUCACAAAGUCUAUCAGUGACUGAAUUUAUGACAGACUGGACCAUAAUCGAAAGUGUGGUUGCUAAUCUUUUAUGACUAAAAUUAUAGUUCGUAACAUAUUACUUACGAAUAAUUAUUCGUCACUGAUGAUAACGUUCUGUUACUACUAAACAUUCAUAGAAACUAAAGGUAUUUAGCUACAAAUUCCGUCACUAAUUACACAACAAGAAAUUUGCAGAUUAGCUGCCAAACACCGCUAGCAAACUCCUAGCAAAAUGUGUUUAGCUGCCAAAAUAUUGGCAGCUAAGUGAGAGCAAAUAUAAAAAAUUUCCUAGCUGUAUUUCAUAAGUACUUUAAAUUAAUUUUACUUAUUCUGACUAUAAUUUAGAGCAGAAUUUAUAUAAUUCAAAAGCAAACAAAGUAAAAACUUCAGUGUUCCAAGACUUCUAGGGAACACCACAAUAUGGAUGAAAUUAGGAAAUGUGUAAUUGACAAAGGGUGCAAUGCAAAAACUAACAGAUACAUUUCCACAGAAAGCUAUAGAUCCUGGAAAAUUUCAAAGUGAGUAAUUGACAAAAGGUGGCAUCUCAUGCACUCUUCAAACACUACUGAAAUCUUAAGGAAGCUAGCUUAUAACUAGCUAAUUGUUAGUAUUAGCAAGAAUAGAAAUCACUUGGAAAAAUACUACAAUUUAAUUUGAUGCAUCUGUAAAAACAUGCACACUUCAAACACUAAGGAAAUUUCUUAGUCGAAUAAAGAAUAGCAUAAAUGGACUCUGUUCACUUUGCAAACAGCUCCACAUAACAACAAAAUCCAUAUCAAACAAAUAUGUACAAGAAAAUUAAAUGGGUAAAUUAAACAUGGUAUAUAAGUUAAGUUACCAUGAACUUGAAAUAAUUCUUUUGCAGUACAAGCUUCCCAGGCUGGGACCACAUCCACCAACCAAAUAAGACUAUUUAGCCUUUUCAAAAUUAAAACAAUGCAACUAAAUACCUAAUAGAGCUCUCCUCUAUGGUACAUAAGAUGUUGAUGACUGGUGAAUUAAAUCCAUCUGGUUGGUUGUGAUAGAUAAGAGGCACACCAUCAGUGGCAUUCUGCUGACGAGGGAGGUAAAAUAGGAUCUAGCUAUCUUAUAAUGUGUAUGUUAGGCACUCAUGGUUUGAACUUCAUGACCACUUGUCCACAACAUUCAGUUACUUACAAUAUAGGAGAGACAUGAUUUUUCUUAAGCCAAAGAAAGGAUUACAUUAACAAUAUUCAGAAGAUGCAUUGUUCAUGAAGUGUUCCAAUGGAUUGGAGAUAUAGGAAAGAACCUCUGCAGAUGUACAACGUUUAUUUAAGUUUCAUGAGAAAGCAAUAUGUAUGCAUAUAUUUAAGGCUAACAUUUCAAUUUUAAUGUCCGAUCCAGAGACUGUGAGAAAGCCUAAACCAAGCUAAGCACAUCAAAACCAAAUGAAUUCUAACGAUUAUCACUAAUUUUAGUUUUAAAAAGUGAAAUCGUGAAGGCAGAACUAAAAGAGCAAUAGAUUUCAACAAAAUAAAACAUGCUGAGAUAAUUCAAGAUGUUCUACUGAGCUACAAAACCAGCACGAAGAACAAGUAUGCAUUUGCAAAAGAUAGAAAUGUAUAUGCGUGUGUACUCCAGGCUGAGGCCUGAGGUGACUCCAAAAGAAUGUAAGUUAAGUUUGUCCCUUUAAUAGAGAAAUUGAUUCAUAUGAACCAACGAAGUAUAGUUUUAUAUUCUCCCAUAAAUUCUUUUUUGUUAUUGAGUUCUCUGCCUUCCCUGUUUCAUGUCAUACUUACUAAGGCAAAAAGAGAAAGUCUUAGAGACCAAAAUCAAAAAAUUGUUUAGAAUUCUGACUGAGUUUAACUCUUCCCCAAAAGCUAGCUCCUGGGUUAUCCUAUGUCCUUUUAUUGGCUGCUUGCUACUAAACAUCCUCGAAUGGUUCCUUUUGAUGUCAAGGUCUGGUUGUCCAAGUCUAUAUUGUUGGGAAUUUUAAUUAUGUAUUAACUUUGAUCCCUGCUUUUAUUUGGAUCUGGUAAAAGGACAUUGCUAUUAGUAGUUGGUUGUUGGUUUACUAGUGCUGCAGGGUGAAUAAUUUUAAUCUCUUUUUAAGGGGUUGAAGCACCCAAUGUGCUUCCUUUAACGCAUUUUUAGCUUACCAAAAAGAAAAUUAGGCCGCCCAAUGAUGUCGAGUUCUACAAAUUUCACGUUCUAGAUGUCCAACACUAGGCGUGGGGUGUGUUAAGGUCUCAUACCCCCUAAACUAGAAACAUAGCUAAAAUAAUCAAUAAUGUUAUCUUCACACCUCUCUUUGAGGUGGAGAGAUGUGGAAUGAAGAGAGAGAUAGGAAGCAAAGAAAAAAUAAGAUAGAGAAAGUAUUAGAUGUGAUAGAUGAUAAGAGGAGAGAGAUAGAAAUAAAAAGAGGUAGAAAUGAAGUGUUUCAAAAAUGAGGUGACUCAAAGUUUAAGAAAUAACUUUGGGAUUAUCAUUACUCAAUUUUAAGAAAUAACUUUGGGAUUAUAAUUAUAUAUUGUCAAAGUUUUCCCAUGGAAAUUUGGAAAGACCACCUGCAAUAAAAGAUUAAAUAGAGCAUGAGUGAAAUGUGAGCGUGAGUUUAAGUUCCAGUUUUGUAAAUUUACCUAGCAGUUAUUUAACAGUGACAGAAGCCUACAAAACAAAAUUUUGUUGACUGACAUUACAUUCUUACAAGUGAGGUUUUAUCAACAUGUGGAUUAGUGUGAAUUUUUGCUUUCCCAACCAAAGUUUUGUUAAACUGCAAUAUUACUUAACUAAUACUAUUUCAUAACUACUAAAAGUUUUUCCAUGCAAGAUUGAGAUCAGAAAAAAAGCAUUCCACAGAAAUAAGAUAAAGAUAUGACGUGGAGGAAAUUAGGAGGUGAAACUUCUAUUCAAUUAAUGCAAGAAAAUACUUCCAAGUCAAUAUGUAAAUGGAAGUCUGUAGGAUGACCUGAUCAAUAACGUCAUAGAUGGGCUACAAAAAAUAAUCACAUGUUUUGUUUCCAUGCGGGUCACUAAAGAAUAUUAGUUGUUCUUGUAUAUUUAUAUGUGAAACUAAGACUAAUAUCUAAAGAUGAUUAUGGUGACAACGAUCUUUUAAAAUUAAAUUCAAUAAAAUUGUGAUAUUUUCUCUGCACCUUCAUGUGUCAUUUCAGAAUUCCAUCGGACUUUGCUCAAGAAACUUCAAAGUUCAAAUCAAUUAAUUCAGCAAAGACUUCCAGGUCAGUGCAAAUGGAAGUAUGUGGGAUGACCUGAAUAACAUUAGAAAAAAUCAAACAUGUUUGGUUUCCAUGCGAGUCACUAAAGAAGAACAAUCAAAGCUUAAGUUUGCAGCCAAAAAAACUCUUAUGUUUCUGUAUUCAAUUUGGUUAUAAAUAUUUAUCAGUAUGGUUCCUUAUCAUUCAUUCCAUGCUCAAUACUAAAUCACAAACACUUGUCACACAUAUUCAUGGGGUGUCUACUGUUGGUAGUUUCAGUUAUUUUGUGUUUGCUUUUUCAAUUUCCAUCCUUAUGUUUCACUUCUUCACAUUCCUUAUCAUGUCUUUCGGACCAAAGCUCUGCCUUGCUUCAAUUUAAGGCUUCCUUCACUAAUCAUACUACUAUUAAUGAUUAUAUUUCUUACCGGUGUUAUGAUGAGGAAAUGGCACAUCGAAAGACAGCAACAUGGGAAAAUGGGACGGAUUGCUGCUCAUGGCUUGGUGUCAUGUGUGACCGCGUCUCUGGUCACGUGAUUGGCCUCGACCUCAGUUGCGCUCGGCUUCAAGGUAAAAUUCAUCCUAAUAGUACCAUUUUCCAUCUUACUCAUCUCCAGACACUCAACCUUGCUUUCAAUGAUUUCUCCUAUUCGCACUUGUCAUCUCAUUUUGGUAGUCUUGUGAGUCUCACACACCUCAACUUGAGUGGUUCUGACUUGAAAGGUGAAAUUCCUUCCCAAAUAUCACACCUUUCCAAAUUAUCCACAUUAGAUCUCUCUGAAAAUUAUGGAUUAAAGUGGAAAGAAGCCGCUUGGAGGAGGUUGGUGAAAAAUGCAACAUCUUUGAGGGAGCUUGUUCUGGAUGGAACAAAUAUGGCUUCAAUUAGACUACUCAAUCUGUCUUCUUCUUUGGUCACUCUUAGCCUUUUAACAACUGGAUUGAAGGGAAGCUUGGCAAGUGUCAUUUUUUGUUUACCAAAUCUUCAACACCUAUAUCUAUCACGUAUAGAAGACCUUCAAGGCCAGCUUGCAAAAUUGAGUUGUAGCCCUUCUUUUCGUGUCUUGCAUCUUUCAAGGUGUGGCUUCCAAGGUUCGAUCCUUCCCUAUUUCUCUAACUUCUCACACCUUACGUCCUUGACUCUCUCUUACAACCACAUCAAUGGUUCAAUUCCAUCCUCACUUUUAACCCUUCCAUCUCUAACUUCUUUGGACCUCAGUGGUAAUGAUCUUAGUGGUCAAAUCCCAGAUGUCUUCCCUCAGUCAAGCAGAUUCCAGGAAUUACAAUUGAGUGAUAACAAUAUAGAAGGUGUGUUGCCUUCAUCACUGUCAAACCUUCACCAUCUCAUUCUCUUGGACCUUCAAGUCAAUAAAUUUAGUGGUCAAAUCCCAAAUGUGUUUGGUGGGCUAACCAAAUUGGAAAGACUCUUCCUUAGAUAUAAUAAUUUAGAAGGACAAAUCCCAUCUUCAUUGUUUGACUUGACUCAACUUUCAACAUUGGAUUGUUCUUCUAAUAAACUAGAAGGUCGUCUACCCAAGAAGGUAACAGGGUUUUCAAACAUAAUUUGGUUACACUUAGAUAACAACUCGCUAAAUGGGACAAUUCCUUCUUGGUGUUUAUCUUUGCCAUCUUUGAAAUACUUAGAUCUGUCAAAUAAUAAGUUCAUAGGGCAUAUAAGUGCAAUCUCAUCAAAUUCCUUAGAGGAACUAUAUUUGUCCUACAACAAGCUACAAGGAAACAUUCCAAAAUCAAUUUUCAACCUUGUGAACCUAAGAGACUUAUAUCUAUCAUCAAACAACUUGAGUGGGCGUCUCAAUUUUCAACUUUUCUCCAAGCUUAAAAAUCUGAGAGAACUUUCCCUAUCUUGGAACUAUGAAUUAUCACUCAACUUCAAAUCUGAAGUCAAUUACAGUUUCUCUAACCUAAAUGUACUAGAGUUAUCUUCUGUCAGUUUAACUGAACUUCCCAAAUUAUCCAAAAAAUUCCCAAGUUUGACCUCGCUCGAUUUGUCCAAUAACCAACUCAGUGGAAGAGGGUCUGAUAAUUGGUUUCAUGAAAUACAUUCAUUAAUGUUCUUGAACCUCUCUCAAAACUUGUUGACAUCAUCAGUAGAGCUCUUCUCAGAGAGUUAUAAACUAAUAUACCUUGAUCUUAGUUUCAACUUACUAGAAGGUGACAUCUCUACGUCAAUUUGCAAUGCAAGUUCACUCCAGGUUCUCAAAUUAUCUCAUAACAAGUUCACAAGCAACAUCCCACAAUGCCUUGGAAAAGUACCAUCCCUUAAAGUUUUAGAUCUGCAAAUGAACAAACUUCAUGGCACUUUGCCAAGUAGCUUUUCAAAGAAAAACAAGCUUAGCUCUCUAAAUUUCAAUGGAAAUCAAUUAGAAGGUCCUCUGCCUAAAUCUCUGUCACAUUGCACAAAACUGGAGUUUUUGGAUCUUGGCAACAACCAAAUAGAGGAUAAAUUUCCCCAUUGGCUUCAAACUCUGCCAUAUUUGAAAGUAUUGGUUUUGCAACACAAUAAGUUUCAGGGUCCCAUUGCUGGUUUAACAACCAAGCAUUCAUUUCCAAGUUUAAUGAUUUUUGUCAUCUCAUACAAUAACUUGAGUGGACCAAUACCAAAAGUCUAUAUCGAGAAUUUUAAAGCCAUGAAGAACAACAUUCAAGAUGAAGUGGAUGGCAGUGUAAAAUACCUGGAAACACCCUCAUAUAGUGGACUUUUAAACUCUUUUGAUACUGUGACAAUAACACUAAAAAAGAACAGCAUCACUCUCACGAAAAUUCCUACAAUCUUUGCACAUGUUGACUUAUCGAAAAACAUAUUCGAUGGGAAGAUUCCAGAUGUUCUUGGACAGCUUCAUGCGCUCAAAGGACUCAACCUUUCUUAUAACAGACUCAUUGGUCCUAUACCCCCAUCCAUGGGAAACUUGAAAAACUUGGAAUCAUUGGAUCUCUCUUCAAAUAUGCUCACUGGUGGGAUUCCAACAGAAAUAACCAAUAUGAACUCUCUUGCGGUUUUGAAUCUUUCAUACAAUCAUCUUGUGGGAGAGAUACCUCAAGGAAAGCAGUUCAAUACAUUUUCAAAUGAUUCCUAUGAGGGAAACUUGGGGCUAUGUGGAUUUCCAUUGUCAAAAAAAUGCCAGAUUAAUCCAGAACAACAUUCUCCACCUUCACCAAUCUUGUGGAAGGAAGAGAAGUUCGGAUUUGGUUGGAAACCAGUGGCCAUAGGAUAUGGAUGUGGAAUGGUAUUUGGAGUUGGCUUGGGAUGUUGUGUAUUCUCACUAGGAAAGCCUCAAUGGCUUGUGAGGAUGUUCGGUGGUCAGCCUAAUAAGAAGCUGAAGAGGAGGACAAAGAGGAGGACUCAUGGAACAAUGAAUCAAUUGGUGCAGAUGUCAUAAUCUUAUAACAACUAUUUUCCCUUUUACUUUUGUUCUACUAUUCUUAAAAAAUAAAGGAGGGUGUGAGAGUCUUUGUCACUCUUUUUUAUUUAUUUAAUUUGAAUUGGGGUUGUGAGUUUGUAGUAUGAAUGUAAUGUUUUGAUACAGCAUGUUAUAUAUAAGUUCUAUAAAAUCUAGUGAGAUUACUUUCUUGCAUUUCAAGUGAGAUUUUAUCAGAAUUUGGGUUAGUGUUAAGUUUUGCUUCCCCAAUUAAGUGUGUAUUUGAAAACUCAGCAGAUUCUUACAUGCAGUAGGAGUAACUUUCCUUGGUCUAAGUGAUUCUGGAAAUUUUAAACCUAAGGACAAAUACACUUUAAAACAUUGUUAAACUUCAAUAUACUAAUCUGGACACCGGUUAAGGCACACCUAAGUCUAGCAGACAUGACUUCUAAAUUAAUGCAAAAGGUUGUAUUGGAAUUCACUUAAACGUUAUGAAAGUGAAAAUUGAAAAAUAUUUGUUUCCUUUUGGAUUGGACAAGUUUAGAAAUAUGGUUUUUCCACAAUUAAUUUUGUUUCUGAGUGACUUUCCUUGGUCUAAGUGAAAAUUGAAAUAUGGGUCACCACAAAAGGUUUGAAACUUUGGUUUACAUAAAAAAAACUAUUAUACAAUAUUAUUUUCAUUUGAAAUGAUAAAGCUGUUUUAUUUUUUGCAAACUUGGUUAAUGAUCUAACUACGCAAUUCUAAAAAUGCACAUUAACUUCAAUCAUCUUGUAGAAUCACUUUCUUAGUGUAUGCUUGAAUACACGGUGAAAGACCACAGUGCACAGCCCCAAAAGCUCAAAGAAGUUGCUUUUGUCCACCGUAAUUUUAGCUCAUAGUGGUUUUCCACAUUUAUACAAACAUGCACCAAAUUAUUUAGAUAUGUUUGAAGAGUACAGCUUGAAUUCCAGUUCUGGUUGAUUUCAAAAUACCUGAUAAAAAAUGUCAUCUCCAAGGCAUGCUAUCCUAUGCAUUGAUAACUUCUGUAACCUGCCAUCACGCAAUUUUUAGUUUUUUCCCACAUUCAAAAGUAUGGCAGAGAAAUAAAUGUUUAUUUCUGAAAAGUAUUCUUUCUUACGUAAGUAAUAACAUUAUUUGCAUAAAUUUACAAAUAAAAAUAUCAACCUCUUCUUCAAAAUAACUAAGAAGAGCCUCUACGGCAUUCCCAAAAGGAGGAUUGACGGUUGGCAAUUUUUUCAACAACACAGGACAGAGUAAUGUCUAGAGGACAAAAUCCAAAGCUACACCAAAGAUGGAAUAUAUACAAGAAGCUGAUUCCAUGAUAGCAAUCAUAACAAUAACUUGUUUUUCAUUCCCUUAUUAAUAAAGUACACUCUGAGAAAAACUUUGUGAUACAUUAGAUGCAAGCUGUGUAAGAUAGUAGUCUCUUGAGAAGGAAACAUCACUAUACACUCCAAUCCAUGGUGGAGAAUACAAGAUACGAGCAUUCUCAAGGGAAAAACCAUUAAGAUUUGGCAAUGGAAUUCCCUUCUGUAACUGCAAAUUCAGGUAUGGUAUGAGCACAGUUUUGAGGAUACUUGACGUCAGUGACUGCAAAUGUUUAAAGUUAAAGGGUAAGAUUCAUAAUAAUCUGGAUAUAUACAAUAACUAAGGUUUAACAAUCAUACAGACAUAAGACAUAGAAAUCAGAAUGGUUGUGCAUGCAUAUUUCAAUUUCAUAUUCUAAUUUACCUGAAUUGUAUGCAUGUGCAGUUUCCCUAUUUUGCUCCAUCUCAAGUAUGUAGAAAACUUUCUCAAUUUAAGCCAACCAGCAAGAUUGUUUCCUAUGAUUUCCACAGCAAACGUAGCACUAAUUUCCUGUAUUAAAAACAAGCAAGAUUAAUGGGACAUGUUAUGAUAAUGGUCAUGUCAUCAUGGUAACCUCUUUAACUAACAAAAGAAAUAGAAUCUGAUAAGUAGGAUUAGGAUCUUAGGCAUAUUGCGAAAAGAUUGGCAACUCUAAAAAUUGUCAGAAGAUCAGAAUGAGGCUAGUAUAUGACAAUGUGAUGACAAAAGGGGAGAAAAGCAUGAAUUCCAUAUAUAGCUUAGACAGAAUGUAGAAAAGUGGUAUAUUAUGAAGGAUACUUGUCAGAAGUAUAAUAUAAAAUCAUCAGGUGUCUUCACCCCGCAACUUAAACUUUUGGAACAGUUAGUUCAUGACAUGGUAUCAGAGUUUGUACUCUGUAUGACCAUGUAGUCCAGAGCAUUGUCAUCCUUCAGGCCCAAUGAGCUCUUGCGUAAGGGGACGCAUUCGAAGUAUAAUAUAAAGUCAUUCAUGUAUCUUCACCCAACAGCUUAAACUUUUAGGAUAGUUGGUAACUAAAACAAUGUAAGAUUCAAAAAAAAAUAAAUUAAACUAUCCACUUAAGUAUAUAUUGAGUUAAUUAAGCAUACCACUGAGAUGCAUGCAACAGGAAUCACUUCAUGAUCUUCCAGAACAUCAAUUAUUAUAUCUGUGAUAAUGGUAGCACCAAUAUCUUGAUCUGACACUUCUAUAACUGGUGGAGAGGUUACAGAGACAUUAAGAUUCAUGUCAUCAUUUGGAUAUAGCUUGUAUAAUUGCGGAAUAAGGAUUUUCCAUUCAGCAGUGUUCAAAAACGCCUGAUCAGGUAGUUCAUCAAUAAUCCAUUGCAACUUAUCUGCCUGAGCACAAGAACAACAUGAACUGUCAAAGCUAUAAUUCAGUCUUUAAUAAUGCAAAAGCAUCCAAUAAAUUUUUUGAAGUGAAAAUAGUUAACUGGUGCCACCCAAUUAGUAAUGCCAUGGCUGAAUCAGAAACAAGUCAUGAGAAAUAUUAAGGUAGAAGCUAGGCAACAAGUACUAAGAAGCUAUUGUACAUCAUGGAGAGAGCUUAAUUUAAAAAAGGGAAAACUCCAGUAAUUGGACUAAGAUACUGUUUGGAUGCAGACCAAAAAACACUUAUAGGAGGUAAUCUAGUGCUUUUUCUAGUUGAUAAGUUUCAAUAAGUGCUCUAUAGUCCGCUUCCAAACGAGCUCUAAGGAAUGCAAAACAAUAAACUGAAAAUUUCAGAAACUUACAUUGAAGUAAACUAAGGAAGCUGAUUUGAAAACAUUUUCAUGUAAUGCAAUCUUUAUCAUCUUUGGUACACUACCAUAGGAAACAGAAUCUACUGAUCUUUUGUGGUAAUCUUCAGUUACUAAAACAUCAUUUCUCCCUGUGAAUAAGCCAUUAAUUUCAAGUUCAAUAGAAGAAUCACUAAGAACAGGAUUGUCCACAAAAGAAACAUUUAGAACAGCAGUUUUGUCAAAUGAGAUUGUCUUCGGAAGAGAUUGUAAUGAAUUGUCAAGGGUUGCUAUCCCUUCUGUUAUUUUCUUAGAAAUGGCCUUUUCAACAGCAGAUGCUAUGUUUCCUUCAAAAGCAUCUACAAGCCUGCAAUAAAAAAAGUAUUCUCAAAUCUCAAACUAGUAUCUUCAACUAGUAAUUAAUAUAUAUACAGGGGCACAAAUUGUAAGUAAAGUUUUGUCCCUUUAGAAGAGAAAUUGACUCAUGAACCGAGGAAAUAUAGCUCUAUAUUCCCCCAUUUUUUUUAUUGAGUGCGUGCUUGGAUAGGUGUUGUCAGAGUUGAUUUUGGAUAGUAGUAUUGAUUAGCGAGUUAAAGUGAGUUGAAACUUGAAAGUGAAAUGACUUAUGUUUGGAUACAUUUAUGGGAAAAGUUAUUUCUAUACAAUAAUGUUGUGAAAUACAGUUAUGAGAUCUCAUAAUUGAUUAUGGCCACUGCAGAAGCUACUCUCUAUAGCUUCUCUGCAGAAUUGAUUUUGGGACUAAAAUCAAUUCUCUAAGUCGACUGUCAAACAUCUAUAUAUCCAUCUAAAAGUGGUUCUGGUCAAUGAGUAUUGAUUCUAGGGCUCCCAAACGUGACACUCUUCUCUGCCUCCCAGUUUCAUGUCAUAUUUUCUAAAGCAUUGAGUAUUAGAGAACAAAACUGAAAAAUAGCUCUGGGAUUAUAAUUGAUUGUCAAUGUUUUCCCUAUGCAAAUGUGGAAAUAAAUCAGCAGUGAAGAUCACCAUUCUAUAGAAUAGAGCAUGAGUGAAGAGCUCACUACAAUCAUAAAACACGGGUUAAGCAAACUGCUUACACUUGGUAAAGCCAAGCUGCUCCACCAUUCAACUUUAUAGUCAAAUCUCCUACAUGACAUCCAUAAUCUAAGAGAAUCAACUUAAGUGUUCCUUCUUGGUUCCUCAAAUUUACAGUAAGCCCCACUUGCAAAUCUUCAACCUUCCAAAAACAUAGCACAACACAACUAAGUAAGCCAUAUCAUUGACUGAACAGGGAAAAAAACAACUAUCUGCAUUAAAAGUAAAUUAUUCUUACAGGUUUUUGCCUAUCAGAUACUGAAAUGCAUGUCUUGUAAAGUUUAACUUUGAGCCAUAUACCUUGUUUUUUUUUUUAAUAUCUUUACUUUCAAUUAUAUCAACUUGGAUAUGCUUCUAAAAGUUGAUCUAGUUCCAGAUGCAGGAAGGGGCAAAAUGCAAAAUCAACAAUAACCUCUUUAUAGCUUCCCUAGGACAACUACCAGGCUAACCAAAUUUACAAUGUAUUUGGAUCCACGGUUAAACUUUCCAGAAUCACUUCUUCCCUCAACAUGGAAACCAACCAAAUUUCCAAACACACAAAUGACCAAAACAACCUUAAAGAGUAAAGUAAGUCAUAAUGACUACUGAUUGAGCAAUUAACGAUUAAGAUUUAAAGAACUUCAUAUUCGAUUGUACAUAUGCAAAUGCAAAUAAAUAAUCACAAUAUAAGUUGUAAUUGCUUACUUCACUCUCUAAAAUUACUCCCUUGCAUUAGAGGAGUUAAAUCCAGAUAAAAGGGAUUGCACCGAGUCAAAAAAUGAGUAGUAUUAAAUUAUGUAUACCUUCACAGUAGCUGUUCCACUAUCUGAAAUUCCAACUGGGACUAACCAACUGCUGCAAGUGUACCUCCACUUCAGGGUCAAAUUGGCAGUUGCACCUGAAAUGACAAGAAAAAUUCCUGUGUCUCCUGUGUUAACAGAUGAAGAACUAACUUGAAUAUCUUUGAUUGUGAUAUCAGAAAGAAUCACGUUAGCUUUUCCAACAAGUGGAACUUUGACAGUCUUCUCAAUUUCUGGCAGCUGAGAUUGAACUAUAGAGGCAACAGCCUUGUCUAUCACAAAAUCCUUAGCAAAAUCAAGGCCCUUAUCAGAUAUCACCACAGAGAUGAAACCCUCAUCUUCAUUAUGCUGGACACCGCCACAAGUUGAAAUGAACAACAAUAUAAGAAAGGAAAGAAUUCUGGGUGCCAUGAAUUUUUUUCCACUUGUUAAGGGAUGAUGAUCAUUGAUCAAGCACACAUCAACAUGUUAAGGGGAAAGAUUAGAAUUUUAAGAUACCCAUUAGAUGAAAGUUUCAGGAUUUGAGCUGAGUUUUCUGAAGAACAACGACAAGACAAACUGUGAAUCGAGACAUAGGAUGUGUUUGGUUUUGGACUUUUGUUUGUCAUUCAUUACGUUAUUAAGUUGAGUUGGCAAUGGUGAUAAUUGAUUAAUAUAAUAGUAUGUGAGCACGAGCCACACGCGGCUUGUAUUUUAAGGCUUCCAAUAUUCUGAAUUUCUGAUUUCUGAGUAGAAAAUGCAUUAUGCAGUGCAAGCUCCAACUCUAAACCUUUUCAACAUUGCAGCAAGUGAUUAUGAAGAUGUUUGGGAAAACUUCCGUAAAUAGCUUAUAUAUUUUGAGCUUAGUUUCAUAAGUUGUUUAGAUUAGCUUAUGAAUAAAAGUUUAUGUUUAUCUAUAACAAAUUUUCAAUUUAUUUCAAUAUAUUUCUCAAAUUAACUUAUAAAUAAGCACUUAUACAGUAAGUGCUUAUUGUUAUAAGCUCUUAAUUAAGUUUUUUACCCGAACGUAUCUUAUGUUUGUUUUUACAAUGCAAAUGUUGCCAUAAGAUACUAGUGAAGAAGAAUUUGACAUUUUAAGGUCAACAUGAAUCGCAAAAUCAAAAUUUUACGAACAUUGAAUUUAUAAGGAUUAGCAUUGACUUCAAAUUUAGCAUGUAAAGUUCAACAUAGAUAGCAAAAUCAAAAUUUUACCACGUUGAAUUUAAUAGGCUUAAUCAAGUUUUUGGUCCCUAACCUUUGUCAUAAAUAUGGCUUUAGUCCCUCGCCGGAGUAAAGGUGGGGAUUGGUCCCCAGUUUUUGGCAAAAUGAUUGGCUUUGGUCCUUCCGGCCGGUUGGGUCAACGCCGGAGCUCCGGGAUGCCCAUGUGGCAUGGCCACGUCAUUUAAUGAGUCCAUUUGGAAUUUUUUUCUUUUUCAUUAAAAAAAAACCUUAAAUCCCUCCUAAUUAAAUUCUUCCCUUCCCUGUGCAGAUCCUCCUCCACCUUCAAUCUCUGCACCGUAAAGAACAAAUUCAUCUCUUCUUAUUCACUUCAAUCAUACCACCAUUCCCAAAUUAACUCACCAACUAAUACCAAAAUUAAAUCACCAACGAACAAUUAAUCCCAAUCUGAUUGUAAAUUACAAAUUAUAUACUGAAGAUGUGCUGAAGCUGCUGAAACGGUGGAUGAUUCAUCCUCUGCGGUGGUCACCACUCACAACCACGGGCACAACCUUCUCCUCCUUGUGGUAACUGUCUGUUUUUCUCUUAUCAAGUUAUCAUCUUAUGAAAAAAACUGGAGAAAUUCAUCUUCCUCCAGCAAACAUUCAUCUACACUCAAGAACCCAGAUUUCAAGAAGAUAAUCCCAAAAAUUCUUAAAACCUCUCCUUUUCCUCCUUCCUUUUCGUCCUCCUUUCUCUCUUUCUCGUGUGCCCAAAACCUCCAUCUCCAAACCCAAAACCUUCAUCUCCCAACUUCUCCGGAGAGAAAACCCAUAGAGAAAAAUUCCAACUCCAAUGCUUUCUUCUUCCUGAAAUAAAACUCAAAGAUCAAUAAAACCCAUUUGUGUUUUACUCCGAUUUAGGUUUUUCUCAUCUUCUACGUCCACGCUUCGAGCUUUCUGCUUCUUUUGGUUUUUUUCUUUCUUUCUCAGAGAUGCCUCGAUCUGGGAGGGGCUUAGGUUGGGGUGGCUCGAUCUGGGUGGGUUGGGGUUGGGGGUGACUCGAUGUGGGAGGGGUGGGGUUGGGGGUGGUGGCUUGGUGUCGGGGCAGCUCGAUCUGGGUGAGACUGGGGUUGGGAUCAUCUUCAUCUCCAUGUUCAUCUAUUUGUUAUUUUAUGGGUUUGGGAUUUUGUUUUCUAGGAUUUCUGCUGCACUUAGGUGAGUGUUUUAAUUAAUUUAAAGGAGGUUAAUUAGGGAGGGUUUAGUAUUUUAAUUAUGGGUUUUUCUUAAUGAAAAAGAAAAAAAAAUCCAAAUGGACUCAUUAAAUGACGUGGCCAUGCCACAUGGGCAUCCCAAAGCUCCGGCGUUGACCCAACCGGCCGAAAGAACUAAAACCAAUCAUUUUGCCAAAAACUGGGGAUUAAUCCCCACCUUUACUCCGGCGAGGGACUAAAGCCAUAUUUAUGACAAAGGUUAGGGACCAAAAACUUGAUUAAGCCAAUUUAAUAUGGAUGAGACUUCAAUGAAAAUCCAAAGACAUGCACGUUUCCUUUCCUUCUGUUUUGUUCUCUAAAGCAAGUCAAUUGCCAAGUGAUUUUGAAAGACAUUAGGAACUUCCAUGCAUUUGCGCCCCUAUGCAUUAGGAUUUUAUGUUCAUAAUGAUCAUUUUCUUUGACAAAUCAACCUUUAAAUUCAGGCAAUGUAAGAUUACAUCAUUAACAACCACCAAGUGUAAAAUUUGAGCAAUAAUACAUCUACACACAUACUACAUGAAUUGAAGAUGAUAGACUAAAAACUCAACUAGUGGAUUUUUUCCCACAGGUUAUAUAAAAAGUUCUCUCCAAAAUUCCGUGAUCCAAUCCAAUUCUUCCUAAUAAAGUUUUCAUAUAUGCAAAUGUCAUUUUUCCUAUAAAAUCUUUGUCCAUCAUAGCUUCUGAAUGAACAAAGGUAAGAACCAUGUAUUGCAAAUCACAUGCUAAUUCACAACACUCCUAGUACAAUAAAGAUGGAUGAAGCUGGAAGAUGCACAAGAAGGAAUCUCCUUUUCAUCAAUUUGAGCAUCUAGAUCAUACAAACAAUGAAAUAUACUUCAAAGGAAGUAAUCUGGCGCGGGUCUCUUUGCAGGUGCCCCCCUUGAUUCCUGAGUUUCAACAAAAUUUGAAAAUUUUAAAAUCAAUUUUGCCAAAUUAACACAAUUUUCUAAAGUAUCAUCAUAACCUAGCGAAUAAUAUGGACCACAAAUUGUUUUCUUAAACAUGCAAAGAUAGUGCAGUCCAGAUGAAAAACUAGUCAUAUUAUUGUGCAUUUGGUUCCAUGUUUGGGAGCCUCAGAAUCAAUUCUCAGGGACCAAAAUCACUUUUAGGUAUUAUGUAAAUGUUUGGGAAUAGACAAAAAGAAUUUAUUUUAGUCCCAAAAUCGAUUAUGCAGAGAGGCUAGAGAGAGUAGCUUAUGCGACGGACAUAAUCAAUUGUGGGAUUUCAUAACUUGAUUUCACAAUAUUACCCUAUAGAAAUAAUUUUUCCCAUAAACGUAUCCAAACAUAAAUCACUUUACUUUCAACUCACUUUAACUAUAAUCAAUUUAACCAAAAUCAAAUACGGUAACAUUGAUCCAAACACGCACUUAGUAACACACUAUUCACCACAUGAAUCAAAGGAUUUGUCAUAAAGGGUGAGGCUCAAAUUGCUACUAUUUAAGGAAACCAGAAUCCAGGUAAUCAAUAUCAAGUGCUUUUGCUGACAAACCUGUGGGGCAGCAUCAAACACACGGAACUGCUUAUUAAGAUUUCCAUCCAACUCCAGAAUAGCAGCUACAUUACCACAUCUGUAACAAAGAUAAAAAUGUAUAAUUAAAAACGUCAGAGCACAAGUAAUGAUGGACUUUGAUUGGUUUUGUACCUGUAACAAUAAUUUGGAGCUGACCAGACAGUAACUAUCUGGUUAUUGAACAUCCAUUUAUAACCUUCCAUUACCAACUGAUGAGCACGGCAUAUAUAGUCAAUGUUAUUGGAGUGGUUAAAGGAAGUAACAACGCUGCCACCAAAUAAGAAACCAGCACCACGGGGACUCAGACCCCAUCCAUCCACAAUAUCUUCAGGAUCUGACCAUAGGAGGUCACACAUAGCACCAUCAUGAGGUACCUCUUGCUUCCGAUCAAUAGUUCGUAUCUGGAUAUUAAUAAUAGAUAAUGUAUAUAAUGUCCGCUAAUAAUUUACAAUCUAAAACCUCAGAGACAAAUAAAUUAAGGUGGAAUUUAUAACCUGAUCCAAUGUUGAAAUGGCAGGAGAAAGACCACCAUGAACACUGAAAAUCUUGUUUUCAAUUAGGGCGGACAAGCUGCAUUUUUCCAUUUGUCAACAUAGGAAAGCCAAUAGUGGAGGGGCCUAGUUUUCACAAAUUGAAACAUAAGGGAGCAAAUUCGCUCAUUUUAAACAUGGGGGAGGGACUUCGCACAAUGGUGAAAGAUGAGGGAGUAAAUGUGCAAUUAAGCCUUUUGAUUAUUUGUCCCCUAUUUAGAGCUGGGUACGCGGGUGGACCGCCCCGCGCAGGCCCGCCCCGCACAAGCUCGCCCCGCGUUGGCUCGCCCCGCGUAGACCCGCAUUUUAGCGGUCCUCUAUUUUCCGGGCUAUAGCCCGCACUAGUCCGCGGUUUCGCAGGCCGAUUCGCGGGCUUUGGCCUCUCUCACCCCCUUUUUUGCCCUCGUAGGCCCGCCCCGCAUUGACCCGCCCCGCGCUGGCCCGCUCCGCGUAGGCCCGCAUUUUAACGGUCCUCUAUUUUCCGGGCUAUAGCCCGCACUAGUCCGCGGUCACGCGGGCCGGCCCGCGGACUUCGACCCGCUUACCCAGCUCUACCCCUAUUAAAUGACCUCUCCAAAGUAUAAUUCAUGCACAGCUCAUUAUAAAGGAGCUAUGGAUCAACCAAAAGCCCACAACAAUGAAUCAAUUUAAACGGCCAUAUUCAGAUGCAAAAGAAAAAGAAAAAUUGUUUUCACAAAGGGAAUUAGUCAAUGCAUUUAUGAUGGGAGGAAACAUGUUUACGAAUUAAGCCUUCAAUUUCGCUUACUGAGAAAUUAUGUUACGUUUUAUAAAGAAAAAUAAUAACCAUGGUAGACUUUUUUAUAAAACGUAACAUAAAUUCACGUUUUUUUGAAAAGUAUUGGAAGAACAAUAAUUAAAUGAAUUGACUUAUUUUGGUGUGUGGUCCACUUUUUUUGGCGUAAAUAUCCUCGACCUUUUAAAGCCUAAUUUAAUACUUUACGAGGUUUGACUUUUUUCAUUUAUAACUAAUAAGUAAUUCCAUUAUUUAUGUGGCUCUGCAAAAGAAAUAAUGGAAUUAAUUUUCAAAUAAGUUGCACUCUUUCCAAUAGAAAUUACUGAUUUCCUGUAAUAACAUAAAUCAGCCAAAAUGGAAUAUCAUGUAUAUAAGGAAAAUUUGUGACCACUGUUUUAUUACCGCACAAUCAUAGGAAAAAAUUUCAAAUAGUUAACCCUAAUUUCAGACUAUAUAUACCCCCUUAUGUGACAUUUCUCCUCCAACAUUCCCGGCAUUUCCCAUCAUUCCUUACAUAUUUCAAAUUAACCUUUUUUCUGAUGGCUUCAAGAAUUGACGAUCUGACCAAAAUAGAUGUCUCCAAAGAAACUUGGGCAAUUGUUGUGAAAGUCAAUCAUUUAUGGCUAAGUCUGAGCUUAUAUGGCUCAAAGCUACCCUUUUCAAUGGACAUGAUACUUAUGAAUGACAAGGUAUACAACUUUUUUGCAAAAAUCACUCAUUUUUAAUUUAAUCUUUUGAAUGCAAUCAUAAAUUUCUUAGUUUGUUUACUUUUAAAGUUUCAGGGCUGCAAGAUUCAUGCUACUAUUAGGAAGACUUUGAUUUAUCAAUUUCAGUCUUUGCUAACUGAAGGAAAAGUAUACCAGAUUUGUUCUUUGGUGUUGGCGAAAGCGGAUGUGAUUUUCGCCCAACCGAUCAUUCAUUCAAGAUCAACUUUGAUAUUCAGACUUCUGUACGACUGCUUCCUAACAAGUCUAUCAACAUGACGACGUACUCUUUCGUUCCACUUACUGACAUAAUGUAUAAGGACCAUGUUCAUUACAGACUUAUGUUUUGCAAUGACUAUAAAUAAAUGUCAGGGACAAUCUUUAUCUCAUGUUGGAUUGUAUUUGCCAAGGCCUAUCUUUACUCAUGGACAAUUAUAUGUUGCACUAUCAAGAGUUAAAUCUAGAAAAGGUUUGAAGAUACUAAUCCUAAAUGACCAAGGAGUAGUUUUUAACACUACCCGCAACGUUGUCUAUCAAGAAGUCUUUGAAAAUAUUUGAUAUGUAAGUUCUGUUUUUUACUACAAUUUUGUUGGGUUUAUAUUUUUUAAAAUACCUAAUCUGAUAUGUCUUUGUUUUAAUUGUUGACAGUAUAAAUAAAUGUCAAAAGCUGAUUGGUCAUCUAACUUGAAGGAUUAUUCCGUUGCUAUAAGGUUUGUUUUCAAUUUUCAAAUGAUAUAUCAAGUUCAUCUUUGUAUUGCUUACUAAUUAUUACUAUGAUAUCUACUUUUUUCAUUGUAGGUUAUGAUGCUCAAAUAUUGAAUUGGUAGCAAAAUUCAACUUCAAGUCUCUGAAGUCAUUAUCACUGAACAUGAACAACAAGUUCUAUUAAGCGAUCAUGUUGUUGAUAUUUUUUUGAUAUUUUAAUUUUUUUGUUUUUUCAACGCAUUCCGUAAAAACUUGGAUUUAUAAUAUUGUUCAUGCAUUCCCCCGAAUAGGCCAUACAACGAAUUCUAUUUAACAUUUUUACGUUGAUCUAUACACAUACAUGUUUGAACCUAUUCUCUGUUAUAUUAUAUUCUACAGAUUUAUUUACACAAUAAAUUUAAUCGCCGUGCAACGCACCGGUGAAAAUGACUAGUAUUUAUAAUAAACUAACCUACUAAGAAAAUAACUCUAGCCUAACAUAGGCUAAACUCUAAUAAUAAAAACUGGCCUCAGUACCAAACCGUACUAACUAUCUAAGAGAUAGAUAAAAUCAAACCUAGACCCAAAUACAUUAAGCCCACUCACUAUAAUUUAGAAGUCUAACAUUUAUCUUGAUUUACUUCUGACUGCUUAAAAAAAAUAAUGGCCGAUGGGUAGUCUUUAUCAACUUUGGCCGGCCCAAAUGGAAAACAAUUCACACUCUUGUUGCAAUAGUAAUACUUUUUCCAAUUUCAAAAAAAAGUAAUACUUUUUCCAACUUUUAUUGGUUAAAUCCAUGUGAAAUUAAUCUACUAAACUGUAACCAAAAAAUAAAUCUACUAAACUAAAUGGAUUUAACUCUUAAUUUAAAAGUUUCUGUCUUUAUUUGGUGGGGCCUAACCCAUAAAUAAAUAAGUGUAACACUUACCUAUCUUAAGUUAUAGACAUGCUAACACACAUCAUUUUAGUUUUAUCCCCACAUUCAAAAGCAUGGAAGAGAUAUAGAUGUUGUAGUUCCUUUGAUUGGCUGCAUUUUGCUCAAAACAUGAUGUGCAACCAUAUGUUCCGACAUCUGGAGCAACAUGUUGCGUUUACGUAUGUUGGUAGUUCAAUCACUGAAAUCAAGUUGUUUGUUGGGCUGCUGACUGUAUGGUGAUUCAGAAGAAUUAUUCUAUGUUGUGUGUUUUAUCUUCUGGAGGCGUGUUUGUUUUAAUCUUGGCUGAAGUAACAAGAUUGAUAACGUGUGAACCAAGUAUAUCUUAAAGUUUGAAUUUAAACUUACUUGGUUCUGUUAUUUUAUUCUGGUAAGAUUUGAUUCCUUGAAGAUUCUUUCCAGAAGUGCUGUUGUGGACUCUAUGUCGUUUGGCCCAUUGAAGAUCCAAGCCUCACGUGAACGUAUAUAUAAAGGAGUUUAUAAACCCUAGCAAAACGGGGAUUCUGAGCGUAAAAUAUUGAGUUUAGGGUUUAUUAUUUUGUGAGUCCUGUUGUGAGUAUUGUAACAACUUAGUGCUUCCUGUGCUAUUGCAAGUACUAAGUUGAUAUGUUUAGUUGAGUGCUAGUAUCAGCAAACUUGUUAUUGCUUUUGACAAGUGUGAUCACUGAGGCAGUGAUUGAGAGAAAGAGAGAAGGGUUUCUCAUACUUUGGGGGAGACUUAAGUAUUAAGCCACUGGUAGCAAUAGGUAGAAAGGUUAGAGUCGUGGUUGUUCUUGGUGAACCUUUUGUACGUGCUUGACUAUUAUAGUGGAUUAUCUUUCUCGGGCUGUAGCCCUCCAAACGUAGGUGAUGUUCACCGAACUGGGUUAACAACUCCUUGUGUUCGUUUGUUUAACUGUUUGUUUAUUUUUGAUACUCUGAUUAUGUUUUGUUGUGUUACACAUUGUUGCAACAUUGUGUAUCACAUCUGUCCUAGGUGAAUACGAAUUUCAGAUGUACAUUUUAGAAAAACAUUCUUUCUUACCAAAGUAAUAUUUUGCAUAAAUUUACAAAUAAAAAUAUCAAUCUCUUGGUUCAAAUAAUAACAGAGAGCCUCUAUGGCAUUCCCGUAAAGAGGAUUGACUGUUGGCAAAACUUUUCACAAGUCACCCUCAAGAUAGAUGAUGUAUAUAGAGGGUUAAAUCCAACCAAAACCAGAAAGAUUUGGCAAUGGGAUUCUCUUAUGUAACUCCAAAGUCAGGUAUGGUUAUGAGAUUGUAAUGAAUUGUCAAGGGUUGCUUUUCAACAGCAGAAGCAUCUUCCAGCCUGAAAUAAAAUAUUAUGAUUAUUAACAUAAUAUCUUCAACUAUUAAUAAAUAUAUAUGCAGGGGCACGAAAUGUAAGUCAAGUUUUUUCCCUUUAGAAGAGAAAUUGACUCAUAUGAACCGAGGAAAUCAAGGAAUAUAGUUUUAUAUUCCCCCAUAAUUCUUUUUGUUAAUGAGGCUAGAUACUCUUCUCUGUCUUUCCAGAUUCAUGUCAUACUUACUAUGGCAUAAAGAUAUAGUAUUAGAGAACAAUUAAAAUUUAAAAUUAUUCUUAGGAGUUAACACUACCCUAAAAGCUAGUUUAGGAGUAGAGUCAUAACCUCAAUUUUAAGAUGAGAUAAGAGUUUAUUCUAUAUCAUUUUAUUGGGUCAUCCGUACAUGAGUCAUCCGUUGAUAUCCGAUCCUACAAAUUUUACGCUCUAGAUGUCCAGUCAUAUGCGUUGGGUGUUAAGGUCUCAUAUUAACUAAAAACAUGACUAAAAUAAUUAUUAUAAAGGGAAGAACAAUCAUCACCCCUAAGCUAGAUUUUAGAGUAGUGUUAGUUAGUUCUGCCUCAAAUUUUAAAGAAAUAACUCUAGAAUUACAAAUUUUACACUCCACAUGUGCUUUAACCUCUGUAACUAUAGCAUAAUUCUUUUUAUUUUUAUUUUUAUUUUUAUUUUUAAUUUCCAUGCAAGCUUGAGAUCAGAAAUUGCAUUUCAAAGAAAUAAGAAAUUAUGAGGUGGAACUUCUUUUUUUUUUAUGAGUGGAACUUUAAACCAAUUAAUGCAAAGUGCAAACAAAGACUUCCAAGUCAAUAUAUGAAUGGAAGUUUGUGGGAUGACCUCAUAGCGUCAUAGAUGGGCUAGAAAAAUAAUCACAUGUUUUGUUUCCAUGCGGGUCACUAAUGAAUAUUAGUUGUUCUUGUAUAUUCAUAUGUGAAAACUAAGACUAAUAUCUAAAGAUGAUUAUGGUGACAACGAUCUAUUAAAAUUAAAUUAAAUUCAAUAAAUUGUGAUAUUUUCUCUGCACCUUCAUGUGUCAUUUCAGAAUUCCAUCGGUCUUUGCAAUAGAAACUUAAAGGUUUAAACAAAUCAAUACAAACAAAGACUUCCAAGUCAAUGCAAAUGGAAGCAUGUGGGAUGAGUAUGACCUCAAUCAAUAACGUUAUGGAUGGGCUAGAAAAAUUGAAUCAAUCAUGUUUUAUUUCCAUGUAGGACACAGAAGAAAAACCAUCCAUCAAACUAAAGCUUAAGUUUGCAGCCACAAAAACUCUUAUCUUUCUGUUUUCAAUUUGGUUAUAAAUAUUUAUCAGUAUGACUCCUUACCAUUCAUUCCAUGCUCAAUACUAAAUCACAAACACUUGUCACACAUACUCAUGGGGCAUCUCUCAUUGUUAUUUGGAAUCAUUCUGUGUUUGCUUUUUGAAUUUCCAUCCUUAUGUUUCACGUCUUCACAUUCCUUAUCAUGUCUUCCCGACCAAAGCUCUGCCUUGCUUCAAUUUAAGGCUUCCUUCACCAUUGGUGCUUCUUUUGCACCUUUACUCUUUGAUGUGCGAGAGACUUAUGCUUAUCUAGAUAAGACAGCAACAUGGGAAAAUGGAACAGAUUGCUGCUCAUGGCUUGGUGUCACGUGUGACCGCGUCUCUGGUCACGUGAUUGGCCUCGACCUCAGCUGUGCAGGGCUUGAAGGUAAAAUCCAUCCCAAUAGUACCCUUUUCCAUCUUACUCAUCUUCAGACACUCAACCUUGCUUUCAAUGAUUUCUACUUUUCGCCUUUAUCAUCCCAGUUUGGUAGUCUUGUGAGUCUCACACACCUCAACUUGAGUGCUUCUCACUUGGAAGGUGAAAUUCCUUCCCAAAUAUCACACCUUUCCAAAUUAGCCUUACUGGAUCUCUCUAGCAGUCAUGGAUUAAAGUGGAAAGAAACCACUUGGAGGAGGCUGGUGAAAAAUGCAACAUCUUUGAGGGAACUUGUUAUGGAUGGAACAAAUAUGUCUUCAAUUAGGCUACUCAAUAUGUCUUCCUCUUUGGUUACUCUUAGUCUUUCAGCAACUGGAUUAAGGGUAAACUUGGCAAGUGACAUUUUUUGUUUACCAAAUCUUCAACACCUAUACUUUUCCUGUAAUCCAGUCUUUCAAGGCCAACUUCCAAAAUUGAGUUGUAGCAGCUCUUCUCUCAGUGUCUUGGAUCUUUCAGCAUGUGAACUCCAAGGUUCGAUCCCUCCCUCUUUCUCUAACCUCUCACACCUUACAUCCUUGACUCUCUCUGACAACAACAUCAAUGGUUCAAUUCCAUCCUCACUUUUAACCCUUCCAUCUCUAACUUCUUUGGAUCUCAGUUCGAAUGAUCUUAGUGGCCAAAUCCCAGAUGUUUUUCCUAAGUCAAACAGAUUUCAAGAAUUACAAUUGAGGGAAAACAAAAUAGGAGGGGUGUUGCCACUAUCACUGUCAAACCUUCACCAUCUCAUUCUCUUGGGCCUUUCAUACAACAAAUUUAGCGGUCAAAUCCCAAAUGUGUUUGGUGGGCUAACCAAAUUGAAAACACUCGACCUUGGAUAUAAUAAUUUCAGAGGACAAAUCCCAUCUUCUUUGUUUGACUUGACUCAACUUUCUUACUUGGACUGUUCUUCUAAUAAACUAGAAGGUCCUCUGCCCAAGAAGAUAACAGGGCUUUCAAACCUAACUAUAAGUGCAAUCUCAUCAUAUUCAUUAAAGUAUCUAUAUUUGUCCUACAACAAGCUACACGGAAACAUUCCAGAUUCAAUUUUCAACCUUAUGAAUCUAAGAGGCUUAGGUCUAUCAUCAAACAACUUGAGUGGGCACCUCAAUUUCCAACUUUUCUCCAAGCUUGAAAAUCUGGAACAACUUUCCCUUUCUUGGAACUAUGAGUUAUCACUCAACUUCAGAUCUGAAAUCAAUUAUAGUUUCUCUAAUCUACGACAACUGGAGUUAUCUUCUGUCAGUUUACUUGAAACACAUUCAUUAAAUUUCUUGAGCUACUCUCAAAACUUGUUGACAUUUCUACGUUACCUUGAUCUAAGUUUCAACCAACUAGAAGGUGACAUCUCUACGUCAAUUUGCAAUGCAAGUAAACUUGAGGUUCUCAAAUUAUCUCAUAACAAGUUCACAGGCAGCAUCCCACAGUGCCUUGGACAAUUACCAUGCCUUGAAGUUUUAGAUCUGAAAAUGAACAAACUUCAUGGCACUUUGCCGAGUAACUUUUCAAAGGAAAAUGAGCUUAGGUCUCUAAAUUUCAAUGGAAACCAAUUGGAAGGUCCUCUGCCUGAAUCUUUGUCACACUGCACAAUGUUGGAGUUUUUGGAUCUUGGAAACAACCAAAUAGAGGAUACAUUUCCCCAUUGGCUUCAAUCUCUGCCAAAUUUGGAAGUACUAGUUUUGCGAGACAAUAAGUUUCAUGGUCUCAUUGCUGGUUUAAAAACUAAGGAUCCAUUUCCAAGUUUAAUGAUUUUUGACAUCUCAUGCAAUAACUUGAGUGGACCAAUACCAAAAGCCUAUAUCGAGAAUUUUGAAGCCAUGAAGUAUGACAUUAGAGAUGAGAAUUUUAAAUACAUGGAAACAUCCCCAGUUUAUGGAGGUGCAUACUUUUCUGAUACUGUGACAGUAACACUAAAAGAGAACACCAUCACUUUCAUGAAAAUUCCAACCAUCUUUGCACAUGUUGAUUUAUCAAAAAACAUGUUCGAUGGAGAGAUUCCAGAUGUUAUUGGACAACUUCAUGCGCUCAAAGGGCUCAACCUUUCUUAUAACAGGCUCAUUGGUCCUAUACCCCGAUCCAUGGGAAACUUGAAAAACUUGGAAUCACUGGAUCUCUCCUCAAAUGUGCUUACUGGUGGGAUUCCUACAGAACUAACCAAUAUGAACUCUCUUGAGGUUCUGAAUCUUGCAUACAAUCAUCUAGUUGGAGAGAUACCUCUAGGAAAGCAGUUCAAUACAUUUUCAAAUGUUUCCUAUGAGGGGAACUUGGGGUUAUGUGGAUUACCAUUGUCAAAAAAAUGCCACGUGAGCCCAGAACAACAUUCUCCACCUUCACCAAUCUUGUUGAAGGAAGAGAAGUUCGGAUUUGGUUGGAAACCAGUGGCCAUAGGAUAUGGAUGUGGAAUGGUAUUUGGAAUUGGCUUGGGAUGUUGUGUAUUCUCACUUGGAAAGCCUCAAUGGCUUGUCAGGAUGUUCGGUGGUCAACCAAAUAAGAAGCUGAAAAGGAGGACAAAGAGGAGGACUCAUGGAACAAUGAAUCAACUGGUGCAGAUGUCAUAACCUUGUAAGUUGUAGCAACUAUUUUCUCUUUUACUUUUAUCUACUAUUCUCAAAAAAAUAAAGAAGCUUUAGAGUUUUUGUCACUCUUUUUUAUGUAAUUUGACUUUGGGUUGUGAGUUUGUAAUAUGAAUGUAAGUUCUAUAAAAUAUAGUAAGAUUACUUUCAUGCAUUUUAAGUGAGAUUUUAUCAGAAUUUGGG
rnacentral:lncRNA from 1 species